ensembl:lncRNA
CAGCCGGAUGGGCUCGCUUUGUCCUGGUGCGCAUGGGGCAUUGAGAGCAAGCUGAGCUGCCUGGAAGUGCCUGCAAGCCCAGCGUGCAGGUGGCGAACCACAAGCAAACCUCAGAGCUCGGGUGAGCGCAUGUCGGAGUGUGGGUGAGCUGAGGAAGAGAACAGAGGGCUUUUUUUUUUUUUUAAUAAAGGUUGAGACGGAAAUUGUAGCCAGAGCAGGAAAGAGCCUGCAGAAGGCAGAACUGUUGAAGCUAAAACAAAAAACAUACACUGAAACAAGCAGAAAAAACCCCCACAGUGUAAUGUGUAAUAAGGGAGAGAGUGGACUGAAGCAAAGAAGUCAAAAGAAGUUUUUAACUAAACCACAGGAGAUGUCGGCCUGUUUUCGAGCUGUUUUUGAGGAAAUGUGGUGAAUGUAAACUUACUCUGUUUGGGGGGAAAAUUCUGGUAAGUGGUGCUGUCUUGAUUAAUUUUGUUUUUCAAUGACARUUUCAGAGAGAGAUUGCUUUA